rnacentral:tRNA from 1 species
GGGCGGUUAGCUCAGCUGGGAGAGCACCUGCCUUACAAGCAGGGGGUCACAAGUUCAAAUCUUGUACCGCCCA